GGGGCUGACGUGGCUUUUGACAGCAUGAAGAAUUUGUAUGUAAGCAUGUCGAGCAUUGUGUAUCUGGCUCGUAAAUAUCAGGUCUCAAACUUUGUAAUUGGCGAAAAUAACUACGCUCUUGCUGCUUAAUCGAAUUAUAGUAGAUUAAUGCUUCAUCACUACUCUAGGAGUAGAGACGAGACAUCCAGCUUAUGGUUCCACCUUGUUCCGGUAAGUAAUUGGAUGCUAUCAAUUCAGGGUUAGUUGGCUUCACGCUUUGGGGAGUUGGCGAAAUAAAAAAGAUAAGGUUUAGCAUCGGGUGUCCUUUCUCUAGCUAGAUUCGAAAAUUAAUGAAGGAAUAAACAUGUAGAAAGCUUAUUAAUCGCAUGUUUGGACCAGGGUUCGAUCCCCUGCAGCUCCACGA
rnacentral:tmRNA from 1 species